GGACGGGAUUCUGGAGAGUGCCUGCCAAAGGCGGGCCACCAAAGGAGCAACUUGACUUUCAAGUAAACUCUCAGGUAAAAGGACAGAAGUAUGGCA
rnacentral:ncRNA from 2 species